AGUUUCAACAACGGAUCUCUUGGCUCUCGCAUCGAUGAGGAACGCAGCGAAAUGCGAUAAGUAAUGUGAAUUGCAGAAUUCAGUGAAUCAUCGAAUCUUUGAACGCACCUUGCGCUCCUUGGUAUUCCUUGGAGCAUGCCUGUUUGAGUAUUAUG
rnacentral:rRNA from 1 species